CAAGGAAUAUUGUGCAAUGGGCGAAAGCCUGACACAGCGACACCGCGUGAGGGACGAAGGCCUUCGGGUCGUAAACCUCUUUUCUCAGGGAGGAGUAAGGACAGUACCUGAGGAAUAAGCCACGGCUAACUACGUGCCAGCAGCUGCGGUAAAACGUAGGUGGCUAGCGUUAUCCGGAUUCAUUGGGCGUAAAGAGGGCGCAGGCGGCCUGGGUAAGUCGAAUGUGAAAUCUCCUGGCUUAACUGGGAGGGGUCAUUCGAUACUAUCAAGCUAGAGUGCAACAGGGGAAGUAGAAUUCCCGGUGUAGUGGUGAAAUGCGUAGAUAUCGGGAGGAAUACCAGUGGCGAAGGCGGCCUUCUGGGUUGUUACUGACGCUUAAGCCCGAAAGCGUGGGGAGCAAACAGGAUCAGAUACCCUGGUAGUCCACGCUGUAAACUAUGUGCGCUGGAUGUUGGCCGACCUAGUCGGUCAGGUGUCGAAGCUAACGCGAUAAGCGCA
rnacentral:rRNA from 1 species